CAGAGUUUGAUCAUGGCUCAGAUUGAACGCUGGCGGCAGGCCUAACACAUGCAAGUCGAGCGGCAGCGGGAAAGUAGCUUGCUACUUUUGCCGGCGAGCGGCGGACGGGUGAGUAAUGCCUGGGGAUCUGCCCAGUCGAGGGGGAUAACAGUUGGAAACGACUGCUAAUACCGCAUACGCCCUACGGGGGAAAGGAGGGGACCUUCGGGCCUUUCGCGAUUGGAUGAACCCAGGUGGGAUUAGCUAGUUGGUGGGGUAAUGGCUCACCAAGGCGACGAUCCCUAGCUGGUCUGAGAGGAUGAUCAGCCACNCUGGAACUGAAACACGGUCCAGACUCCUACGGGAGGCAGCAGNGGGGAAUAUUGCAUAAUGGGGGAAACCCUGAUGCGGCCAUGCCGCGUGUGUGAAGAAGGCCUUCGGGUUGUAAAGCACUUUCAGCGAGGAGGAAAGGUUGGCGCCUAAUACGUGUCAACUGUGACGUUACUCGCANAANAAGCACCGGCUAACUCCGUGCCAGCAGCCGCGGUAGUACGGAGGGUGCAAGCGUUAAUCGGAAUUACUGGGCGUAAAGCGCACGCAGGCGGUUGGAUAAGUUANAUGUGAAAGCCCCGGGCUCAACCUGGNAAUUGCAUUUAAAACUGUCCAGCUAGAGUCUUGUAGAGGGGGGUAGAAUUCCAGGUGUANCGGUGAAAUGCGCANANAUCUGGANGAAUACCGGUG
rnacentral:rRNA from 1 species